rnacentral:rRNA from 1 species
AUACGUAGGGGGCGAGCGUUGUCCGGAAUGAUUGGGCGUAAAGGGCGCGUAGGCGGCUUUGCAAGUCAGUAGUGGAAGUCCAUUUUUCAAGGAUGGAAGUGCUACAGAAACUGCGGAGCUUGAGUGCAGGAGAGGUUAUCGGAAUUCCCGGUGUAGCGGUGAAAUGCGUAGAGAUCGGGAGGAACACCAGUGGCGAAGGCGGGUAACUGGACUGCAACUGACGCUGAUGCGCGAAAGUGUGGGGAGCAAACAGGAUUAGAUACCCUGGUAGUCCACACUGUAAACGAUGAAUGCUAGGUGUAGGAGGUAUCGACCCCUUCUGUGCCGCAGUAAACACAGUAAGCAUUCCGCCUGGGGAGUACGGUCGCAAGAUUAAAACUCAAAGGAAUUGACGGGG